rnacentral:rRNA from 1 species
CCUGCUCAAUGGUAUAUUUAAAUAGCCGCUAUUUAGUGCUAAGGUAGCAUAAUCACUUGUCUUUUAAUUUAAGAAUAGAAUGAAUGGACAUACGAGUUAAAAACUUUAUUUAAAUUAUUUUAUUAAUCUCAUAUAAAAGUAAAAAAGCUUUUAUACUUAGAUCAGACGACAAGACCCUUUAGAACUUAACUAAAAGUUAAGCUGGGGUGGCUAAAAAUUUCUAUUAAAACUAAUUUACUAAAUCACAAACACCUUAUUAAAUUAUAACAAGUUACCUAAGGGAUAACAGUAUAAUUUUAUUUUAAAGCACUUAUUACAAAUAAUGUUUAUAACCUCGAUGUUGAAUUACUUCACUAUUAAUAGAAAAUUUUUUAAAAGUAAGUCUGUUCGACUUUUAAUAAAGUACAU